GACGAACGCUGGCGGCGUGCCUAAUACAUGCAAGUCGAACGAACCGCGACUAAGUGCUUGCACUAAGUCAAGGUGAGUGGCGAACGGGUGAGUAACACGUGGGUAACCUACCUCAUAGUGGGGGAUAACAGUCGGAAACGACUGCUAAUACCGCAUAGGACAUAGGAUCACAUGAUCCAGUGAGGAAAGGUGGCGCAAGCUAUCGCUAAGAGAUGGACCCGCGGUGCAUUAGCUAGUUGGUAGGGUAAAGGCCUACCAAGGCGAUGAUGCAUAGCCGACCUGAGAGGGUGAUCGGCCACAUUGGGACUGAGACACGGCCCAAACUCCUACGGGAGGCAGCAGUAGGGAAUCUUCUGCAAUGGACGCAAGUCUGACGGAGCAACGCCGCGUGAGUGAAGAAGGUCUUCGGAUCGUAAAGCUCUGUUGUUAGAGAAGAACAGCGCAUAGAGUAACUGCUAUGCGUGUGACGGUAUCUAACCAGAAAGCCACGGCUAACUACGUG
rnacentral:rRNA from 1 species